rnacentral:rRNA from 1 species
CGGUUAAGCCUUUAUACCGUGAACUGCGAAUGGCUCAUUAAAUCAGUUAUCGUUUAUUUGAUAGUACCUUACUACAUGGAUAACCGUGGUAAUUCUAGAGCUAAUACAUGCUAAAAACCCCAACUUCGGAAGGGGUGUAUUUAUUAGAUAAAAAACCAAUGCCCUUCGGGGCUUCUUGGUGAUUCAUAAUAACUUAACGAAUCGCAUGGCCUUGCGCCGGCGAUGGUUCAUUCAAAUUUCUGCCCUAUCAACUUUCGAUGGUAGGAUAGUGGCCUACCAUGGUUUCAACGGGUGACGGGGAAUUAGGUAUGUUUCUUACCUAUUUUACUUUCAAGUCCGCCUACUAAUAGUCUAAUUACAGGGUUCGAUUCCGGAGAGGGAGCCUGAGAAACGUAAGUUUAAACCCCAUAAUUAAAUAAUUAUUUCUUUCUAUAUACUAAUAUUCUUUCUUUAGGGCUACCACAUCCAAGGAAGGCAGCAGGCGCGCAAAUUACCCAAUCCCGACACGGGGAGGUAGUGACAAUAAAUACUGAUACAGGGCUCUUUUGGGUCUUGUAAUUGGAAUGAGUACAAUUUAAAUCCCUUAACGAGGAACAACUGGAGGGCAAGUCUGGUGAACAUUUCAACAGUUCUAAAGCUGCUUGACGCCAGAGAUAGUAGGGCUUUUGUCGCCUAAUAAGUAACAAAAGUUAUGCCUGCUAGUCGAGCAUCCAUUUUCUCACGAUGGGCGGAUGCCGGCAAGGUAACCUGGUACGGGGAAGCCUAAGGGUAAAUGGUUCCUUUUUUAAGGGAGGCCCAAUUCUGCCUAUGGUAAUCCCGUGGCGAGCCUAAUUUAGUUCUACUUAUUAGCCGUCGUAACGCGCGGAAAGGUACCGGCUAUCAAAUAAAAAAAAUUGAUGGCUCAAGGGACGUGCUGUCCCAUUCGAAGGAUGCUUUAGCUGGAGCACUCAUCGUGUAAAGGCUUAAGGGGUUUACUUCACUAUAUGAGUACCUGGGCGCUAUCUAAUAGCACAAACAACGGCAGCAGCCGCGGUAAUUCCAGCUUCAGUAACGAUAUAAAAUGUCGAGUUAAAACUCGUAGUUAAACUUUGGGCUGCUGGUGUCCGCCUCAACCGGGUGUACUGUUCGGGCCGGACUUUCUCUGGGGAUCUAUGUCCCUUCCUGACGUGUUAGGAACACAGGACUUAACUUGGAAAAAAUUUG